CCUACGGGAGACAGCAGUGAGGAAUAUUGGUCAAUGGACGAGAGUCUGAACCAGCCAAGUAGCGUGAAGGAUGACUGCCCUAUGGGUUGUAAACUUCUUUUAUAUGGGAAUAAAAUGUUCCACGUGUGGGAUUUUGUAUGUACCAUAUGAAUAAGGAUCGGCUAACUCCGUGCCAGCAGCCGCGGUAAUACGGAGGAUCCGAGCGUUAUCCGGAUUUAUUGGGUUUAAAGGGAGCGUAGGUGGAUUGUUAAGUCAGUUGUGAAAGUUUGCGGCUCAACCGUAAAAUUGCAGUUGAAACUGGCGUGCUUGAGUCCGCGGAAAGCAGGCGGAAUUCGUCGUGUAGCGGUGAAAUGCUUAGAUAUGACGAAGAACCCCGAUUGCGAAGGCAGCUUGCUGCAGCGGAACUGACGCUGAUGCUCGAAAGCGCGGGUAUCGAACAGGAUUAGAUACCCCAGUAGUC
rnacentral:rRNA from 1 species